rnacentral:rRNA from 1 species
GAUGAACGCUGGCGGCGUGCCUAACACAUGCAAGUCGAGCGAUUUACUUCGGUAAAGAGCGGCGGACGGGUGAGUAACGCGUGGGUAACCUGCCCUGUACACACGGAUAACAUACCGAAAGGUAUGCUAAUACGAGAUAAUAUGCUUUUGUCGCAUGGUAGAAGUAUCAAAGCUCCGGCGGUACAGGAUGGACCCGCGUCUGAUUAGCUAGUUGGUAAGGUAACGGCUUACCAAGGCGACGAUCAGUAGCCGACCUGAGAGGGUGAUCGGCCACAUUGGAACUGAGACACGGUCCAAACUCCUACGGGAGGCAGCAGUGGGGAAUAUUGCACAAUGGGCGAAAGCCUGAUGCAGCAACGCCGCGUGAGCGAUGAAGGCCUUCGGGUCGUAAAGCUCUGUCCUCAAGGAAGAUAAUGACGGUACUUGAGGGGGAAGCCCCGGCUAACUACGUGCCAGCAGCCGCGGUAAUACGUAGGGGGCUAGCGUUAUCCGGAAUUACUGGGCGUAAAGGGUGCGUAGGUGGUUUCUUAAGUCAGAGGUGAAAGGCUACGGCUCAACCGUAGUAAGCCUUUGAAACUGGGAAACUUGAGUGCAGGAGAGGAGAGUGGAAUUCCUAGUGUAGCGGUGAAAUGCGUAGAUAUUAGGAGGAACACCAGUUGCGAAGGCGGCUCUCUGGACUGUAACUGACACUGAGGCACGAAAGCGUGGGGAGCAAACAGGAUUAGAUACCCUGGUAGUCCACGCCGUAAACGA